UACGGAGGAUGCGAGCGUUAUCCGGAUUUAUUGGGUUUAAAGGGUGCGUAGGCGGCCUUGUAAGUCAGCGGUGAAAUUUUGCAGCUUAACUGUAAAAGUGCCGUUGAUACUGUGAGGCUAGGAUUUGGUUGCUGUGGGUGGAAUGCGUGGUGUAGCGGUGAAAUGCUUAGAGAUCACACAGAAUAUCGAUUGCGAAGGCAGCUCACAAAGCCAAGAUUGACGCUGAGGCACGAAAGUGUGGGGAGUCAAACAGGAUUA
rnacentral:rRNA from 1 species